rnacentral:lncRNA from 1 species
UCCAAAUAUAGCUAGUCAAACCCGGUCACAUGACCAACGUCAAUUACUAAUCCACCUGCACGUCCAAAGGCGCCAUUUUUAAAAUGAACAUAUCAGAUAUUUUAAAAGCACAACGGAGUUAUCAAACAAAAAGUUAUUCGGCUUCAGAAGAAUUGGAUUUUACCCACUGGAUUUAUGGAUCAACUUUGGGAUUUGUACUAUCUUGGCUUUAAACACACGGAUUGCCAAAUUGAAAGUGCAGAAAAUAAGACAUGAUCUGACAUCCCUCUUGACGAAAUGCGGAAAAUCACACACGCGGAUUGGUCCUCCAUGGUCUUACAAAUGGGGAACACUCAUUUGCUCCAGUGGGAGUAUGACGGUGGGAAUUUACUGCGGACCACACUCUGAGGAUUCAGCCGUAAAGCUGGACCAUGGUGUGGAGACCAAAUGCCACCUUCAGACCCCCAGCAGAAUGCUUAUUCAUACAUCAACUCAGUUUUAUCCAACUAGGGUUGAGCGUUACUGGAAGGUUAUGAGAUGUUGAGUGUUACAAUUGGGCAUGGGUUGAUAUAACAUUCUGAUAGUUUAAUAACCUUGAAUAAAAAUAUCAUGGUUUCACGAUAUUACAAUA